CCGUGGAGCGUGCUUAACACAUGCAAGUCGAACGAUGAAGCCCAGCUUGCUGGGUGGAUUAGUGGCGAACGGGUGAGUAACACGUGGGUGAUCUGCCCUGCACUUCGGGAUAAGCCUGGGAAACUGGGUCUAAUACCGGAUAGGACCUCGGGAUGCAUGUUCCGGGGUGGAAAGGUUUUCCGGUGCAGGAUGGGCCCGCGGCCUAUCAGCUUGUUGGUGGGGUAACGGCCCACCAAGGCGACGACGGGUAGCCGGCCUGAGAGGGCGACCGGCCACACUGGGACUGAGACACGGCCCAGACUCCUACGGGAGGCAGCAGUGGGGAAUAUUGCACAAUGGGCGCAAGCCUGAUGCAGCGACGCCGCGUGAGGGAUGACGGCCUUCGGGUUGUAAACCUCUUUCAGUACCGACGAAGCGCAAGUGACGGUAGGUACAGAAGAAGCACCGGCCAACUACGUGCCAGCAGCCGCGGUAAUACGUAGGGUGCGAGCGUUGUCCGGAAUUACUGGGCGUAAAGAGCUCGUAGGCGGUUUGUCGCGUCGUCUGUGAAAACCCGCAGCUCAACUGCGGGCUUGCAGGCGAUACGGGCAGACUUGAGUACUGCAGGGGAGACUGGAAUUCCUGGUGUAGCGGUGAAAUGCACAGAUAUCAGGAGGAACACCGGUGGCGAAGGCGGGUCUCUGGGCAGUAACUGACGCUGAGGAGCGAAAGCGUGGGUAGCGAACAGGAUUAGAUACCCUGGUAGUCCACGCCGUAACGGUGGGCGCUAGGUGUGGGUUUCCUUUCCACGGAUCCGUGCCGUAGCUAACGCAUUAAGCGCCCCCGCCUGGGGAGUACGGCCGCAAGCUAAAACUCAAGGAUUGACGG
rnacentral:rRNA from 1 species